UUGAAGAAAAUUUUGCAGAUCGCGCGCCAUCAAAACUCUGUUCCCUUCUCAAAACUCUCUUCUCGCGCCAUCUCACAGAAAACCUAGACGCCGCCCAUAUCUCAGCAAAAAUCCGUCGGACACCGCGGCGUCGACGCCUUCUUCACCGUCGCCGGCUAGCCUCAUCUUUUCUCACCCGAAACCCUCGCCCAUCUCACAGAAAUCUACUCGCGCGCCUCCUCCCUGUUCUGAAAAUAAACUUGCCUUCGCCUCCCCAAUUUCAGCAUACGACUGCCGGCGUCGCCCCAAUUUCAGCAUACGACCGCCGGCGUCGAGGGUCUAGUGUUGACUUCUUCUUCGGCUGUCACCGGCAGGCUCUCGAAAUCGACACCAUCUCGUGCAUCGCCUCCCCCAAUCUGAACUGAUGCCAUUGCCCUAUCUCAGAAUCUGAAGUGACGCCAUUGUCUUAUCUCGUGGGUUCGACAUCAAUUCCUACCACUGAAAGCAUACUCUAUUGCUUACAAAGAAGCCGCCGAUAUUCUUCUCCCUGGGUACACUGAUCUAUCAAGAUUUAAGGCCAGCUGGUGAAGAAACAAAGCAUUUCAGAAGACUUCUUGUACGUUGACUUGGAGGAAGGUAUGUAAUCUCAAGUUUAGUUGUAAGUUGUUGCUGAAUAGGGUUGAUAUGUAUUUACAUAAAUUUGGCAUAGCUCUAAGUAUUGCAGAUUUUUUAUGUUGUGAAUACAAAAUAAGCGGUCUACUAUAUAUAUAGUCGAAUUAGUGUGGAUAAUCUAUUUGAUUUAAUAAGCUUAUUUAGUUUUUUUUUUCCUUUA